rnacentral:tRNA from 2 species
GUGGGUAUAGCUCAGUUGGUUAGAGCGCCAGAUUGUGGCUCUGGAGGUCGUGGGUUCAAUUCCCACUAUUCACC